UCACUGGCCGCGCCGAGCGGCUCCGCCUUGGCGCGGUCGAACGUGAUCGCGGCCUGGCCAUGCGCCUGAUCGAGAUUGGCGAGCGCCUUGCGCGUCACGCCCUCGCCGUUCAGAUNNNNNNNNNNNNAACAGUCCGAUGUCAGUCUCGCGGCCGGUCGAUCCGGUGCGCGCGGCGACGAUCGCAAAAUCCGCAAUCGCGCCGUCCGCCACCGGCGUCUUGGUGCCCGAAACCGCACCCUGCGCGGCCGAGACCU
rnacentral:misc_RNA from 1 species